UACGAAGGGGGCUAGCGUUGCUCGGAAUCACUGGGCGUAAAGGGUGCGUAGGCGGGUCUUUAAGUCAGGGGUGAAAUCCUGGAGCUCAACUCCAGAACUGCCUUUGAUACUGAGAGCCUUGAGUUCGGGAGAGGUGAGUGGAACUGCGAGUGUAGAGGUGAAAUUCGUAGAUAUUCGCAAGAACACCAGUGGCGAAGGCGGCUCACUGGCCCGAUACUGACGCUGAGGUGCGAAAGCGUGGGGAGCAAACAGG
rnacentral:rRNA from 1 species